rnacentral:rRNA from 1 species
UGGGGAAUCUUCCGUAAUGGACGAAAGUCUGACGGAGCAACGCCGCGUGAGUGAAGAAGGUUUUCGGAUCGUAAAACUCUGUCUUUUGGGGCGAACGUGAGUAUGGUGAACAAUCAUAGUCAGUGACGGUACCAAAGGAGGAAGCCACGGCUAACUACGUGCCAGCAGCCGCGGUAAUACGUAGGUGGCAAGCGUUGUCCGGAAUUAUUGGGCGUAAAGAGCGCGUAGGCGGGAUAGUCAGUCUGUUGUAAAAGUGCGGGGCUCAACCCCGUGAUGGCAAUGGAAACAGCUAUUCUUGAGUGCAGGAGAGGAAAGUGGAAUUCCCAGUGUAGCGGUGAAAUGCGUAGAUAUUGGGAGGAACACCAGUGGCGAAGGCGACUUUCUGGACUGUGUCUGACGCUGAGGCGCGAAAGCCAGGGGGAGCGAACGGGAUUUAGAUACCCCCGGUAGUCCUGGCCGUAAAACGAUGGGUACUAGGUGUGGGAGGUAUCGACCCCCUUUCCGUGCCGGAGUUAACGCAAAUAAGUACCCCGCCUGGGGAGUACGGUCGCAAGACUGAAACUUAAAGGAAUUGACGGGGGUCAUAGCUGUUUCCUG